rnacentral:lncRNA from 1 species
GGUCCCUGAAAUGGCAAUUAAGUAUUAUAAAGUUACGAACAGCUUUUCUUCUCCAAAUUAUUCCAUUCUACUAAUAUUAUAACAAAAAGUGAAUAAAUGAAAAUAUAGCAAAAAAGAAACCAUAAAUUUUAACGAAAAUCCAAGUACAGAGAAUACUUUUAGCAAAUUAUAGUAACAUUCAAGGACGCCGAUCCAAAAGUAUGGCUCUAGUAGAGGUGAUCCGUGAUCUAUUAUACACAAGUGAAAGGAGAGGCAUAGACUCUCUCAAGUUCUUUAGAACAAUGUUUUGAAACAUUAGUAAAAAAAAGAUCUUUUUAUUAAACGAGAUGGCAAUUUUAAAAUCAAUGAUAACCAAUUGGAGCUGGAGCUUCCUUUAGCUCACGACCUUGGUAGUGAAUGUCCUGCAAAGUAAACAACUUUCAUUAAUCACACAAGACAAUGCAAGGGUUAGUUAGGUUUUGGUCAACUUUCAAUAACAGAACAACACUUACAGAUGCAAAAUGGUUAACGUCACGGUGAUGAGCCUCGUCAGCACGGACCACCAUCACCACAUCACGAAGGGUCGCAUCAGCAGGGAGCCUCCAGUAAUCAAUAGCGAUAGCCGGAGCAGGUACGUUCUCGAUGUUACCUUUGUCAAGUUCCUUGAGGAACUCAGUGUACGAGUGGAUAGCUUCUUCUUCAAGGUACCCAACCAUGCGGUGAGCAAACUUCGGGGAGAUCAAGUAACCGAGGAAAUAGGCGUUGAAGAAGACUCCUUGGACGGUGAUGACAAGAGCUCGCUCGUACCAUUUGGGUUUAGCGACUUCCAUGAACGUCAUGAGAUGCAUCCUCUCGUUCUCUGCUUCCUCGAGAAGAGCUUUGAUCCAUCCUCCGCUUUGCUCAAAGCGCCUGAGAGAUUUGCAGUGGAGUAACAUUCCUCCUACCAUUCCGGGCACUGCUGCUACAGUCUCGAGCAUCAUAGCUCGGCAUCCAUAUCUCCUCUGCGUUAAUCAAAUACAACGAUUCAUAGCAUCAAAUAUCAUAUCAAAGUAAUGGAGAAUAUUUGCAGUGGAGUAAUAUUCCUCCUACCAUAUAAAAUGUGAAAUAUUAUAAUAGUUCUAGAUGGUUUAAACAAACAAAUAAAUGCUAUAAUCACAACUGAAAGAACAACAAGUGGACAUAAUACAAACGCACAACAAUAUGAUAUAAAUGAAAAAGUUCCAAAAGAGAAAGUAAUAUUUUAAUAAUUGCUAUAAAAGAGGUUUAUACGCAAUCAAUGACGAUUUGGAACGUGUUUCCAAUUUCGGUUACAAGAAAUAUUAAAGCGGAGACGGAGGAAGAAAGUGUACCUGGAAGAAGAGAUCGGUAGGCCAACGAAGAGAUUUAACAGUCCAAUAAGCCAAUCUGUCAAGAAACCUUUUCAUAAGAGAUGCGACCAUCAUUAAUCUCAACUUCUUAACUGGAGUUCUUAGCUUAGAGUUAUUAACUUUUUUUAGAUUUUAACUAAGAUAAGCUAAGAACCGUCUAUUAAAUAAGAAAUAUAAGAAUCGUCAUUUAAUUGAAAAAUGUAAAAAAAACCAAAAAAAUGUCAAAUCAUGAGUUAUGAACCUCCGCUAAGAAACUGGAGUUAAUCAUACAUAGAGUACAAGAUAAAAUCUGUUAGAAAGCCACCGUGAUCCCGAAGGACACGGACAAACACCGAUGAAGACGAACCUAAAAGUCUAGCCAUCACCGGAAAGACGCACUCCCGGAGGGAGAGACAACACACAAACCAUUCCCAACUUGUAAUCGUUCGUAUACUGUCCCGAGAAACCUAAAUCCAAAUCAAUGGAGAGCAUCCAGAACAUGGCUAUCGUAAUCAAACUGAUGUUUAGGGAUUUUCCCCAAACACAGAAGAAAAAUUGAUUAAAACAUCGAUGAUGAUGUGCUAUAUCUGUAAACAAAAGAAAGAAUGAAGAAACUAGAGACAAUCAUGGACAUACAAUUUUGUAGCAGACAAUUUAAACGUCCUAAUUUGUAUUGAUAGGAUGCAAAAUAUUUAUUUUUACGGUGGGUCCCUGAAAUGGCAAUUAAGUAUUAUAAAGUUACGAACAGCUUUUCUUCUCCAAAUUAUUCCAUUCUACUAAUAUUAUAACAAAAAGUGAAUAAAUGAAAAUAUAGCAAAAAAGAAACCAUAAAUUUUAACGAAAAUCCAAGUACAGAGAAUACUUUUAGCAAAUUAUAGUAACAUUCAAGGACGCCGAUCCAAAAGUAUGGCUCUAGUAGAGGUGAUCCGUGAUCUAUUAUACACAAGUGAAAGGAGAGGCAUAGACUCUCUCAAGUUCUUUAGAACAAUGUUUUGAAACAUUAGUAAAAAAAAGAUCUUUUUAUUAAACGAGAUGGCAAUUUUAAAAUCAAUGAUAACCAAUUGGAGCUGG